CCUUCAUCUACUCCUACUUAAGCCCCAAAUCACCUGAUUAACAACAGAGGCUGAGCCGGGUGGCUGAACACAGCAACCCUUACUGGCCUUCUCAUGGAAUUCCUAAUUCAGGGGCUCUGUGAAGGUGGAGCCACCCUCAGAAAGCCAAGAGAGGUGCCAUGCUACAGCUUAGCCUGAAAAAAAGGAAGGCAGAAAGAGAGGAAGUAGCAGUCAAGCACCUUAUCAUGCAAGUUUCAGAAGGUUGUCUGGGGCUGUGAAAGGCCCGUUUCUCUUCAUCGGCUGCUUGGUGACUGCACGCUUAGUCAGGAGGCGCGGAAGCCCCAGUAGAAGACCUUUCCUCAGCCUGGAAGCCAGGCGCUCAGGGACUCCCGGGAAGGUGCCAGCGCCCUGACUCUCCCCUCUUCAGGGAUGCCAGACAAUUCCUUCAGCUCACAUGACUUCAUCAGCCAAGUUCUUGUCACCUCACACAGUGAAUUAAACUCAUAGUCUCUUUAUUUAGAUUACCCAAAGGAGUUUUCACCCCCUUCGCAGGACUACAGUGUUCGACAAACGACCAAAUUGGAGCUUGGGGAAAAUAAAAGGAAUUCUCUGGA
rnacentral:lncRNA from 1 species